UACGAAGGGUGCAAGCGUUACUCGGAAUUACUGGGCGUAAAGCGUGCGUAGGUGGUGCGUUAAGUCUGUCGUGAAAGCCCCGGGCUCAACCUGGGAAUGGCGAUGGAUACUGGCGCGCUAGAGUGCGGUAGAGGAGAGUGGAAUUCCCGGUGUAGCAGUGAAAUUCGUAGAUAUCGAGAGGAACACCGGUGGCGAAGGCGGCCUUCUGGACAGUGACUGACGCUGAGACGCGAAAGCGUGGGGAGCAAACAGG
rnacentral:rRNA from 1 species